GGGAAUAUGGCUUAGUGGUAGAGUACUUGGCUAGUAUGCAUGAAACCCUGGGUUCGAUUCCUCAGUACCA
rnacentral:tRNA from 1 species